GACGAACGCUGGCGGCGUGCCUAACACAUGCAAGUCGAACGAAGUGGCAAACGGGUGAGUAACGCGUAAUCAACCUGCCCUUCAGAGGGGAACACCAGUUGGAAAUGACUGCUAAUACCGCAUACUGAAGGAGGUGAUUGCGUCUGAUUCUCUAGUUGGAGGGGUAACGGCCCACCAAGGCUAUGAUCAGUAGCCGGUCUGGGAGGAGGAACGGCCACAGUGGGACUGAGACACGGCCCAGACUCCUACGGGAGGCAGCAGUGGGGAAUCUUCCGAAAUGGACGAAAGUCUGACGGAGCAACGCCGCGGGAGUGAUGACGGCCUUCGGGUUGUAAAGCUCUGUUAAUCGGGACGCGGUACCGGAAUAGAAAGCAACGGCUAACUACGUGCCAGCAGCCGCGGUAAUAC
rnacentral:rRNA from 1 species